GUCUCUGUAGCUCAGCUGGAUAGAGCACUGCUCUCCUAAAGCAGGUGCCGGGCGUUCGAAUCGCCCCAGGGACGCCA
rnacentral:tRNA from 1 species